rnacentral:rRNA from 1 species
GAAUAGGGGACAAUGGGCGAAAGCCUGAUCCAGCCAUGCCGCGUGUGUGAAGUAGNUANNCGGAUNGNAAAGCACUUUAAGUUNNNNNGAAGUGCAGUACGUUAAUACCUUGCUGUUUCUACGUAACCGACAGAAUAAGCACCGGCGACCUUCGUGCUAGCCGACGCGGUAAUACGAAGGGUGCAAGCGUUAAUCGGAAUUACUGGGCGUAAAGCGCGCGUAGGUGGUUUGUUAAGUUGGAAGUGAAAGCCCCGGGCUCAACCUGGGAACUGCUUUCAAAACUGACGAGCGAGAGUACGGUAGAGGGUAGUGGAAUUUCCUGUGUAGCGGUGAAAUGCGUAGAUAUAGGAAGGAACAUCAGUGGCGAAGGCGACUACCUGGACUGAUACUGACACUGAGGUGCGAAAGCGUGGGGAGCAAACAGG